rnacentral:rRNA from 1 species
CGGCGGCCGUAACUAUAACGGUCCUAAGGUAGCGAAAUUCCUUGUCAGGUAAAUUCUGACCCGCACGAAUGGCGUAACGAAUUGGGCGCUGUCUCAACGAGAGAUCCGGUGAAAUUUUAAUACCUGUGAAGAUGCAGGUUACCCGCGACAAGACGGAAAGACCCCAUGGAGCUUUACUGCAGCUUGAUAUUGGACUUUGGUACGAUCUGUACAGGAUAGGUGGGAGCCUUUGAAGCCGGAGCGCCAGCUUCGGUGGAGGCGCCGUUGGGAUACCACCCUGAUCGUAUCGGAGUUCUAACCUGGUACCGUGAAUCCGGUACGGGGACCGUGUCAGGCGGGCAGUUUGACUGGGGCGGUCGCCUCCUAAAAUGUAACGGAGGCGCCCAAAGGUUCCCUCAGAAUGGUUGGAAAUCAUUCGAAGAGUGCAAAGGCAUAAGGGAGCUUGACUGCGAGACCUACAAGUCGAGCAGGGACGAAAGUCGGGCUUAGUGAUCCGGUGGUACCGAAUGGAAGGGCCAUCGCUCAACGGAUAAAAGCUACCCUGGGGAUAACAGGCUUAUCUCCCCCAAGAGUCCACAUCGACGGGGAGGUUUGGCACCUCGAUGUCGGCUCAUCGCAUCCUGGGGCUGAAGUAGGUCCCAAGGGUUGGGCUGUUCGCCCAUUAAAGCGGUACGCGAGCUGGGUUCAGAACGUCGUGAGACAGUUCGGUCCCUAUCUGUCGCGGGCGUAGGAAAUUUGAGAGGAGCUGUCCUUAGUACGAGAGGACCGGGAUGGACGUACCGCUGGUGUACCAGUUGUUCCGCCAGGAGCACCGCUGGGUAGCCAAGUACGGACGGGAUAAGCGCUGAAAGCAUCUAAGCGUGAAGCCCCCCUCAAGAUGAGAUUUCCCAGUAUGUAAGACCCCUUGAAGACGACGAGGUUGAUAGGUUCGGGGUGGAAGCACAGCAAUGUGUGGAGCUGACGAAUACUAAUCGGUCGAGGGCUUAUCCUA